AACAGUUUAUUUAUUUAUUUAUUGGUUCGAUUUAUAUAUGCCGCCCUUCUCCGGAGACUCAGGGCGGCUUACAAUGCGUUAAGCAAUAGCCUUCAUACUUUUUGAAUAUACCUGCUUAGUAGGGCUUUCGCCCCCCCCAAGCGGUGUUCUUUUUUAUACAAAGUCAGCUUAUUGCCCCCACAAUCCGGGUCCUCAUUUUACCUACCUCGGAAGGAUGGAAGGCUGAGUCAACCUUGAGCCUGGUGGGAUUUGAACGCGCAGUAAUUGCAGGCAGCUGGUGCUACUUAACAGUGCUUUAAUCUGCUGCGCCACCAAGGCUCUUAACAGUGCAUGGAAACUGAUCAAAGAGAGAUUCAACCUAGAAAUAAGGAGACAUUUUCUUGACAGUGAGAACAAUCAACCGAUGGAGCAGAAGUUGCCUUCGGAAGUUGUGGGGGAUUCAUCAAUUGAAGGUCUUCAAGAAGAGACUGGACAGCCACUGGUCUGGAAUGGUGAAGGGUCCCCUUCUCGAGCAGGGGGUUGGACUAGAUGACCUCCAAGCUCAAGGCGGUGAACAUACCUCAGACUCCUUCAUCCCCACAACAACAACCUUGUGAGGUAGGCGAAGGCUGAGAGAAGGACUGGUUCAAGGUCACCCACCUGGUUUUCAUCCCCAAGAUGGGACUUAAUCUCAAUAUCUUUUUUAUAUUGUGGUGACCAAAAUUGGAUGUAACAGAUGCUCCAGCAGAUGCACUUAGCUGAACAAUUGGAUUUUCCACCAGCUCCAUCACCUGCUGCAUUACAGUGGCUUCAAGCAUCCUUAGAAAGCCUCUCAUCUUCUACUGAAUCUUCACCAGUUCUGGAAAAAGGGCUUCCAGAUUCAGUGAAAAACCCAGACCAGAAAGGUCUUGAAGCUUCUAAACAAGAUUACAAAAAAUGGCUUGAGAUAUAUUAUAAUGAACCUCAAAGGGGAAGGACCAAAACCGCCCCAUCUAGGAAUUCAGGAAUGGCUUAAAGCAUGUAUUAAAUGAUCUACCAAAGCCUAAAGUAGAGGUUUGAGAUACCCUAAGUAAUGGCUGGUUUGAGAACCAAGUAUCAUUGUUAUGAAAGACCGAUGGAAAUGGCUUCAAAGAUCUCUAGAAAGCCUCUUAUCAUCUGAAGAACCCAGACCAGUUCUGAAAAAAUGGCUUCAAGAAUCCUUGGGAAACCUGGAGAAGGUAGAACCUGAAAAAAGAUGCCAAAAUAUGGCUUGAACCACCUUAAAUAACCUUGAAGAAAAGGAGUGAAAUGGCUCAUGUGGUUAGGACACUGGUAUGAUGAUUUUCAGGCUCACGUUCGAGACCCAGUUGCUACUACAGACAGGGUAAGGUCCCAUCACUUUGCUCCUGUUCCUGCCAACCCAACAGUUCGAAAGCGGGCACCGUGAGUAGAUAGAUGGUUACCACUUUGGUGGGCAGCUUAAUGGGGACAUGAAGUAAUCCCCAAUUGAUUGUCCCCUGGGCAACAUUGAUGUCACUGUCUAAUUCUUUCAAUGUGGAAAUGCUUUUGUGCUCCUGACAUGACUGUCGACAGCGGAAGGACCUGAAGCACCCCAUCUAGAUACUCAGAAAUGGCUUGAAACAUCUAUUAAGGGCAUCCAGGAUUUCAAAGAACAAUAAAUCAUUAAAAACUAGCAUGGUAAAGAGUAAGGAGUGAGCGAACCUGGUGGCUUCAAGCAUUUUUAGCAAGUUCCAGAGAGUGUGGUUCUACUAUAUACAGAACAGUGGCAGGGGUGAAAUCUGUCUGGGCCAAACUAUUUAAUUCGAUUUUAUUUCUGCUUUUUAAAUUUUGUAUGUAUGUAUUUUAUUGUUGGCUGUUCACCGCCCUGAGUCCUUCGGGGGUAGGGCGGUAUACAAAUUAAAUAAAAGUAAAAUAAAGUAAAGUCCGGACCAGCUGCUGCGGGGAGGAAGGUAAGGCUGAAGAAAGAGGCGGUUGUGGGGGAGAAGCGGGGCUACGGCCAGGGCCUCUGAAGGAGCAGAAAGGACUGAGGAAGGGAGAGUGGGCGGCAUGCAGGAGGAGGCAUUUGACAGAUUAGGCCAGGCCUGGGCAGAAAAUAGGUAGAUAGGUAGAAAUUCAAUUUUUUUUCCUAAUGGGUUCUGUGGGCGUGGCUUGGGGGGGUCAUGUAACUGAAUAGGCAUGGACAUGAGCGAUGUCACAUUAGCCAUGCCCACUCAGUCAGUGACCCCCCCCAGCAAGCCACACCCACAGAACCGGUAGGAAAAAAAAUUUGAAUACCAUCACUGCUUGCAAUGCCUAUUUCUUUCCCCUCUCUGUCCCAUCAGUCCCCCUGCUAAACUUGAGAUGUGAUGAAGAAACAAAAUUAAAAAUUUAAGUCUAUCAAAAAAUACUUUGAGAAAUAUCUAUUGGCAGCAGAUAUAAAACUCCACUGAACAAAGUAUCAAAGAUAUGAGCACAUCCAAUAAAAAUAAGUCAAAUAUUUCACAAAG